rnacentral:lncRNA from 1 species
CAGGGCUUUAGUGUGCCAGCUUCGAGCUGAAGCAUCCAGGUGGGGCUGCAUUCUCCCAUGUGGCCUAGGGUCUCCUCAUCUGCUACAGCCUGGGCUUGUCCCUGUGUGCCAUAGUUUUCACAGCUGAGCCAUGAGCCAUGGUGCUGUUGGCCAUCAACAGGUGACCUGUUUCAUUUUAGGCCAGCUUUAAGGAGUCAUAUAUGGCGACAUUCUAUGAAUUCUUCAAUGAGCAGAAGUACGCAGAUGCUGUAAAGAAUUUCCUGGAUUUGAUUUCAUCCUCGGGGAGAAGGGACCCCAAAAGCAUAGAGCAGCCCAUCCUGCUUAAAGAAGGGUAAGGCAUUUGUCUUCUUGCUGAUUAAGACUGCUAUAUGGGUAGUCCUCUUCCUCCCCCAUAGUCCUGAGGGGUCGUCUGUCAAGAAAACUGCAGCCAGAGCACCUGGUGAUAGAAACU